UAAGGAGUGAUAAUUGUGGUCACGUACGUAAAUAUCUUAUUGUACUUUUUAUGUUUAUUGAUGAUAGUUGUCAAAUUUUGCGUCCUUUUUCAGCUAAUUACACCAUACAGCUGCGGUUCAAAUGCCAGCGAGAUCCAAGGACAUAUCCUUCUGAACAAACAGAAGACACUGAGUUCCUUUUGGAAAGUUUGUGCUUGUGAAGACCAGAAAACAACUGGAAGGACUUUACAGAACGCAGUCAACACGACACAAAAACCAAGCAGCGUUGAAUAUGCUUUUUCAAAUUCUUCAAGUGCAAGAGGUUGGAAGCACCGAGCAGUACUGCAUAGAUGGGUCCGUGUUUAAAGUUCAUGUGCUUGAGGAUACAGAGUUUUAACGUUAUUAACUACAAGGACUGAAUUCAACACUUCGUUAUCGCCGGCGUUCUCACCGUAUAAUGAAACAGUAGUCAGUAGUUGUUCAAAUAUUGAUUGAAGUGCUUGACUGUAAGAGCACAAGGAAGUAAUUUAUUAGCUCCGAUAUGGCCGGGUAUUAUUGGCGGGAUCGACCGAAGAGAAAGAUCGAGUUAACCCUGAUAAUUUUUUCUGAGAAGAAUGUAAACUUACUAAACGCACAGUUUAACGUCAACGUUUUCAAAAUUCGAAACAAAAACAAAUUUUAAAACUUCAGUGAAGUUAUCCAAUACUCGUUCAGUGUAUCGGAUGCAGAUGGCCAAGCCAUCUGCAUUUUGUGAUUGUAUAAUAGUGGGGUAAGUUUUUAGGUAAUACUUUCAUUUUCAUUUUAGAUUAAAAUUUGGAAAAAACAUAGAAACACUGAAUCAAAAUAUUCUAAUCGAAACUUUGAAUGCCUCAGUGCAGAUUUGAUAAACAUUGACUAAGCGCGAUACCUAGUAAACUUAAAGAUGGAAUUUUUAAAUUAGUUGCGAAGACAGGGGGCCUUAUAAUACAUUCAUAAUAGCAAACGCUAUCUCUUCUGGGUUUUUGAAAAUCAAAUAAACAGGUCGCUUCUAA